rnacentral:rRNA from 1 species
UACAGAGGUCUCAAGCGUUGUUCGGAUUCAUUGGGCGUAAAGGGCUCGUAGGCGGCCAACUAAGUCAGACGUGAAAUCCCUCGGCUUAACCGGGGAACUGCGUCUGAUACUGGAUGGCUUGAGAUUGGGAGAGGGAUGCGGAAUUCCAGGUGUAGCGGUGAAAUGCGUAGAUAUCUGGAGGAACACCGGUGGCGAAGGCGGCAUCCUGGACCAACACUGACGCUGAGGAGCGAAAGCCAGGGGAGCAAACGGG